CCUACGGGCGGCAGCAGUGGGGAAUAUUGGACAAUGGGGGGAACCCUGAUCCAGCCAUGCCGCGUGUGUGAAGAAGGCCCUCGGGUUGUAAAGCACUUUCAGUGAGGAAGAACGCCUGGUGGUUAAUACCCAUCAGGAAAGACAUCACUCACAGAAGAAGCACCGGCUAACUCCGUGCCAGCAGCCGCGGUAAUACGGAGGGUGCGAGCGUUAAUCGGAAUUACUGGGCGUAAGCGCGCGUAGGUGGCUUGAUAAGCCGGUUGUGAAAGCCCCGGGCUCAACCUGGGAACGGCAUCCGGAACUGUCAAGCUAGAGUGCAGGAGAGGAAGGUAGAAUUCCCGGUGUAGCGGUGAAAUGCGUAGAGAUCGGGAGGAAUACCAGUGGCGAAGGCGGCCUUCUGGACUGACACUGACACUGAGGUGCGAAAGCGUGGGUAGCAAACAGGAUUAGAUACCCGAGUAGUC
rnacentral:rRNA from 1 species